AUACGGAGGGUGCAAGCGUUAAUCGGAAUUACUGGGCGUAAAGCGUGCGCAGGUGGUUUUGUAAGUCAGAUGUGAAAUCCCCGGGCUUAACCUGGGAACUGCGUUUGAAACUGCAAGGCUAGAGUGUGGCAGAGGGGGGUGGAAUUCCGCGUGUAGCAGUGAAAUGCGUAGAGAUGUGGAGGAACACCAAUGGCGAAGGCAGCCCCCUGGGUCAACACUGACGCUCAGGCACGAAAGCAUGGGGAGCAAACAGGAUUAGAAACCCCGGUAGUCC
rnacentral:rRNA from 1 species